AUGCAGGGGGCAUACGACCCAGCCGUGUACCGAGCACUAAAACGGCGGCGGCGGCGCGGCCAGCUCCGGGUCAUCCUCGAGCCUUGGUGCUGCCGGACCGGCGAGAAGCCAGGCGGGCACAUCGGGCUGCAGAUGCGCAGGUGGCUGCACAGGCUGGUUCGACGGCCCCACGCCGUUUCGGUGGUGGCGACGAAGAUCCUGGUGGCGCUGGUUUCGACCUCCACGCCGGAAACGGCGAAGGUCGCGCACACGACGGUGGAAGCGGCGACGUCCGCCCACACCGUGGCGACAGUUGCGUGCGAUGAAGCGGCGGCGACGGCUGGCGUCGCGAGCCAGGCGAAGAAGAAAAAAGACAGGAAACCAGGCAUUUUUCUUCUCACCUUUUGCCUGUUCUUCCGCUUCUUCUCAUCGGAAUCGCUCUCGCGAGCAGUGCUGAUAACGUGUUACAAGUUGAUUGUAAAGGAACGAGAGAGACAACCAUCAGAGAGACAAAUGAAUCGAAGUAUCCUUUAUUGA
rnacentral:rRNA from 1 species